rnacentral:rRNA from 1 species
UUCCGGUUGAUCCUGCCGGACCCGACUGCUAUUUGGGUGAGGAUAAGCCAUGCGAGUUGAAUGGGAUACCUAAAUUUCCCAUGGCAAACUGCUCAGUAACACAUGAUCAACUUACCCUAUAGAGAAAAAUAACCUCGGGAAACUGAGGAUAAUAUUUCAUAGUUGAAUAGGCUUGGAAAAGUUUUUCAAUAAAAGGGAUAAAAAAAAUGGUUUUUAUCUGCUAUAGGAUAGGAUCGUGGACGAUUAUGGUUGUUGGUGAGGUAACGGCUCACCAAGCCGAUAAUCGAUAGGGGCCGUGAGAGCGGGAGCCCCGAGAUGGGUACUGAGACAACGACCCAGGCCUUACGAGGCGCAGCAGGCGCGGAACCUCCGCAAUACACGAAAGUGUGACGGGGUUACCCAAAGUGUUCAAUUCUGAACUGUGGUAGGUGAGUAAUGUUCCCUACUAGAAAGGAGAGGGCAAGGCUGGUGCCAGCCGCCGCGGUAAAACCAGCUCUUCAAGUGGUCGGGAUAAUUAUUGGGCUUAAAGUGUCCGUAGCCGGUUUAGUAAGUUCCUGGUAAAAUCGGGUAGCUUAACUAUCCGUAUGCUAGGAAUACUGCUAUACUAGAGGGCGGGAGAGGUCUGAGGUACUACAGGGGUAGGGGUGAAAUCUUAUAAUCCUUGUAGGACCACCAGUGGCGAAGGCGUCAGACUGGAACGCGCCUGACGGUGAGGGACGAAAGCCAGGGGAGCGAACCGGAUUAGAUACCCGGGUAGUCCUGGCCGUAAACGAUGCAUACUAGGUGAUGGUACGGCCAUGAGCCAUAUCAGUGCCGUAGGGAAACCGUUAAGUGUGCCGCCUGGGAAGUACGGUCGCAAGGCUAAAACUUAAAGGAAUUGGCGGGGGAGCACCACAAGGGGUGAAGCCUGCGGUUCAAUUGGAUUCAACGCCGGG